ensembl:lncRNA
CCUUGGUUCAGUCUGAUGUUUUUCUCUCCCAGGGCGAAACAUUUUCCUCAAAUCAGGAGAGGCGGAUUUCCUGUGAUCAAGGUUUGUUUCCCUCCAAGGCGGAGGCAGUAUCUGUGAAGGGGACAGUAAAGGCAGGUAUUCGCGCCCCUCAUGUGAUGAAGAAAAGAUCCCACUACCAACCAUAGACCUAUAACACAGAUUUAGGAUAUUGUCUUCCUAACUGUAUUAGCAAUAGUGCUGUGUGUAUGGGGCUACAGUAAUGCACUGGCAAGACUGCCUCAAUUCAAAUUCUGCUCACAGAUUAGAAAUUAUUUGAUAAUAAAUUAAUUCAGUUAAAUAGGCUACCUAAAGAAGACAAACUGACAAAAACACGGAGGACCUAUCCAUUUAGGCACUAUUUUUUUUCAAUAAAUCCGUUUAGGAUCAGGACAAAAACACUGCAGACAAAACAACGGGGAGCUCUAACGGUACACGAAUGCGGUGUAAUCCCUGGCCUUCAAAACGAACAAAUGGAUUAUGCAAGGGGGGUCAUCCCAAAUGAUUUAUAAAUGCAAAAAUCUGACUACAUCGUCUAAACACUGAACUCGCUUCCGCGUUUCUUCACAUCCGUUCCUUGGUGCUGGGCUAGCCCACGACUAGCCAGAAAAUAACUAGCUAAAAUACGGCAUGCAGUCAUCCCAUUGCAACUUUAUCAACUCUAAUUUAAUAGUAAACACAUAAUGCAAUUCCAUAGAUAUUUGUUGGAUUUCCUCACUUGAUUCUAGUCCAUCACUGCGUCUCAGUAAAUAUACGUGUUUUAAAAUAGGUCGAGGAGGCAGCUUCAAACUCAGUUGCGGUUUCCAGUCAAAACAAGGUACCCGCAAAAGUGCUAAAAAUCAAGAACAGGGGCGGGUUCAGCAAGAUACAAAGUUUUGGAACAUCCAGAUAGAAAUAUGCUAUGUAGAACAAACACGCCUCUUCGAUUUGUUCAAUAAUGAAUGACGUUAAUUUCUAUCUGCAAUGUUCGAGAACGUUUUGCAAAUGAACGUGACCCUGUUCACACCCAGUACACAUUUGAGAGGUAAAAUCAUUUUUGUCCACCAUCAAUUAGAUGUAAUCUCAGAUAUCAUAAUAUGGCCAUAGAAGUGUUGUAAAAUAAAAUGGUGAGAUCCUGUUGAGAAGAGAUUCCAGCUGUAGAAGAGAAUGAGGUGACCUGGAAGCGGAAGUGUGCGUAGUUCAUAGGCUAUAAUGGCAAGACCGCGAAUUGAGGGUGGUAAGAAGCGCUGACAAUGCUACGAGAUUUGGAUGAAAUAGAGUCAGAUGGAGGGGAGGAACUUGAUGCUGAGAUCGACUAUGAUGAUGAAUGGGGGAAUUAUUCAAUAGAUUCCGAUGCUGGCUGCGAUUCUGAUUAACGAUGCCCAGCGUGCAGGUGUCAACAACUCAGAUGGAGGGAGAGGAGAAGGGGAAGGACGGCACGGUUUGGAUAAAACAGCCAGUGGACAACGCUGCAGAUCGGUUAUGAGCACAGAAUGGCACCCCAUUGGAAUCAGGCCCUACACCUUACGCCAAAGGCAGAAUCGACCGAGCAUUCGACAGCUCCCAUUGUUUAUGUAACAUGGAGAUGUUGCAGCACAUCAAGGACUGUACUGUAGCUGAGGCGCACAGAGCGAAAGGAGACAACACGUGGGACAUGUCUGUGGAUGAGCUGGAAGCGUUCAUUGCGCUCCUAUAUGUCCGAGGACAGUACGUAGGAAUGAACACGCCUUUGGAGAGCUUCUGGAACGAAAAAUAUGGGGCGAUUUUUUUUCCCCCGAGUCACUAUGCCCACGGAACCGCUUCAGAGAGAUCAUGCGAUACCUGUGUUUUGACGCAAGAGAGACCAGACGCAUGCGCCUGGAAACGGACGUUUGGGACGCGUUUGUACAGAACUGUGUUUCCUCUUACAAGCCAGGAGUGAACAUUUCCGUGGAGGAGCAAUGUUUCCCCGCAAAAGCUAAGUGCACCUUUACGCAGUACAUCCCCUACAAGCAAGACAAGUGGGGCAUGAAGUUUCGGUUGGCAGCUGACGUCGACAGCAAGUACGUGCUGAAUGUCUUUCCAUAUCUGGGGAAAGGUGAAUCUCAGCCUCCUGAAAUUGUGGUGAUGAGGCUUGUAGACUUACCUUGGCGAGGGUAGGAAUGUAAUCACAGACGAGAUCUUCACAUCACUGCCAUUGGCAAAUAAGUUGAUUGACAAGAACACAAGCUUAGUCGGGGUUAUGAAAGUGAGCCGGGGGCUGCUUCUCUCUGUGAGCAACCAGGCACAGGCAGAGCUGUUCUCCACAACGGCGUUGAAGCACGACAAAGCAACACGGUUUACAGAUGUAAGCCAAGAGAAAACGUUGGUGUGGAUAACAUGGCCAGACAGUUCACGGUGAAAGGGGGUACUUGCCGCUGGCCUAUUGCCGUAUUCUACAACCUGCUUGACCAGGCUGCUAUCAACGCGCACGUUUUGUUCACCCAGUGCACCGGUAAGACAACCCCGAGGAGAGAUUUCAUCAUGUAGUUGCCAUUGGAGCUUCGUGAGAAUCACACGAGCGCCAGGGGCAAGGCGGCAGCAGACGAUGUCCCAAAUGACGCACCACCGCUCUCCGAGAAAAAGAGACAGUGCCAGGUGCACGGAUGCAUGCGGAACAAAAACUGCGACUUCUACGGGACCUGUGCGCGAUUUGUCUGCGGAAAGUGCUCAUUCCGGAAUAAAGAUUUGUCGAAGAUUUGUGUUGACUGUCAUGCCAUGUUACUGUAAGAGCUUAAGGAAUAACUGCUGCUAUGCAUAAAGGCGUACAUGCCGAGAGAGGCCACAACGAGUUCAUUAAUGACUGACGCCAGUACAGGCUGUUUAUACGACUGACGCUUGUUAUAUUCUUGUUAUAUUAUUUUAUAAUACCGUUAUUGGUUUACAUUUGCUCGUUGUACACUUUUUUUGAGCUGACUCUAGUCCCAUUUAGCCCUAUUGAAAGUGCGUAUUUUGGAUACACCUAUAGCCUACUAGGUAGACUACUUAGACUAACAUGGUGGUAAAACAAGAAGAUGCUUCUGAAUUAAAUGACUGAAUGUGAUUUCUGUCUUGUUCUUUUCGUUAAAAUCUACGUAUUUGCAUUUUGGUGUUUCUUUCCCUCAAUUAAAACAGAACAACCUAGGCUAUUAUAAAGGUCUAAAACUCUAAAUGUAGUCAAGCAGCAUGACCUAUGGCAGGGUCACCGGAAACCGUGUGUCGAGGCGACAUUUGCGCAGCACAUGUUUAUUAAAAUACAGUGUACUCCAUUUUGUUUAUGAGAAAAUGUG